CAAAAAAAAAAAAAAAAAAAAUUACUACCCCUAGUAAACCACGAGAAGAGCUAGGUGGCAUGGUGAACAAUAUUUUCACCAUGUAUUUUAGUUUCUGUUAAUUAAUAAUUGAUAUGGGUUCUAGAAAAGGUGUGACUGUAAUAUUACUAGCUGACUGCUUUGAACACCAAUAUAGCGUUGGCAUUCGGAAAGCACCAUCUCCAGGUUGGCAGCCUCAAUUCGAUCAUGUUUUUCUCCACUGCAACAGAAAUGGCUGCCUAUAUUUGCAUGGUAAGAGAAAAGCAACAAGAAGACAGAAAUGGAUCUUGUGUGUAUAACGACAUGGUACAUGAAGUUAUUAACGUUUCAAAUCAAUUAUACUCUUUGUUUUCUUUGAAAACACGAAGAAUCAUGCUCGGCCAAAAACAGAACUCUGUCUUGUGUUUGCAUUUACACGCGUUUAUUUACGGGCAUGUACCUGCUGGCUGCUGUAGCUUCGAAUGGUGUCGUUUCUUUAGAGCUCAACGGGUCAGACAGACGUGGGAUUUAUGUUCGUGUCUUCUUGUCUUAAACUUCCAGACAUUUGAUUUUGUGAUGUAGAGUACAUUGUAACAUCAAUUUGUCAGUUUGUCACCAUCCUUCAAUAAAGCCAUAUGGGUAAGUUGCUGGGAGGUUGGCGGUGUAAAAUUGAAACAAGAACAAUGGCUAGUGCCAUAGCAGGAUUCUUAGUUACCAACGGAAAUCAUCCCUUCGAAAUACAGAGAGCUAGUUAUUAGUUGACCACGCAAAUGUUCCAUCGCAGAAAUCAAGGCUCCUCUACAAAGGAAACGCCAUCAAUUCAUCCCGUGUGACAGAAGUGCCAUCCUUGUCAAAUCAGUUUCUCAUAUAACAUUCUUCUGCCUGAACAGUAUGAUUAACCAAGGGAAUACGGGAGCCGGAGGAGAUGAAGCUGCAGCAGUCAAAGUGCAAGGAAGGUCUUCUCUUUUCAGGCUCUUUCUUUAUUACAAUCACUAUCGUGAUCAGACUUUUGCGUUCGUGCAGGUCCUCGUUGGGCUGGACAAGGAGCUAUCAUGAUGGCCCCAGGGGCAUCUACAUCUCUCUUUUGGACCCUUUCACACUGAACUACCAUCGGCUCGAGACCGUGUCAAUGACAAGACCUACAUAGCCUUCCAUUUGUUUCAUGGCUGCUGGUGCCCUCCUUUCAUUCAGAAUAUUGCAUCCAAGUCAUGUAGCGAGGGAUGAUGGCACCCUCUGCACCAACUCAAAGUAGUUUUCUUUGUUGUCUUCCAUGAUAGCGUAAUAAACAACUAUCCUUGGUCCCCAUAAAAUAAAUUAAAAACUGACUCUUGUUAAAUUGAAUGUGCCUUCACUUGAUGAACCAGACCAUAUGCUUUGCAGCUACAGCGGGUUCUACAAGGGAGUGCAGGGUCUGCAGUAGCUUGGCAGGUUGAUGACAAGCGGAAGGUUCCCUUGCUUUCUAGUUUGGCAAUAAAAAGGUAGUCCAGCUCAGGAUAAAUAGGGCAAAAUCAGAGAGGAGUUAUUUUUUGAAAUUUUAUAAAGCAUAGCCACAUAAUUCAUUUCUCCA